rnacentral:tRNA from 1 species
UCCCUGGAGGACUAGCGGUUAGGCCACAGUACUCUCACUGCUGCGGCCCAGGUUCGAUUCCUGGCCAGGGAA